AGAGUUUGAUCCUGGCUCAGGAUGAACACUGGCGGCGUGCCUAACACAUGCAAGUCGAGCGAUCUUCUUCGGAAGAGAGCGGCGGACGGGUGAGUAACGCGUGGGUAACCUGCCCUGUACACACGGAUAACAUACCGAAAGGUAUGCUAAUACGAGAUAAUAUACUUUUAUCGCAUGGUAGAAGUAUCAAAGCUCCGGCGGUACAGGAUGGACCCGCGUCUGAUUAGCUUGUUGGUAAGGUAACGGCUUACCAAGGCGACGAUCAGUAGCCGACCUGAGAGGGUGAUCGGCCACAUUGGAACUGAGACACGGUCCAAACUCCUACGGGAGGCAGCAGUGGGGAAUAUUGCACAAUGGGCGAAAGCCUGAUGCAGCAACGCCGCGUGAGCGAUGAAGGCCUUCGGGUCGUAAAGCUCUGUCCUCAAGGAAGAUAAUGACGGUACUUGAGGAGGAAGCCCCGGCUAACUACGUGCCAGCAGCCGCGGUAAUACGUAGGGGGCUAGCGUUAUCCGGAAUUACUGGGCGUAAAGGGUGCGUAGGUGGUUUCUUAAGUCAGAGGUGAAAGGCUACGGCUCAACCAUAGUAAGCCUUUGAAACUGAGAAACUUGAGUGCAGGAGAGGAGAGUGGAAUUCCUAGUGUAGCGGUGAAAUGCGUAGAUAUUAGGAGGAACACCAGUUGCGAAGGCGGCUCUCUGGACUGUAACUGACACUGAGGCACGAAAGCGUGGGGAGCAGACAGGAUUAGAUACCCUGGUAGUCCACGCCGUAAACGAUGAGUACUAGCUGUCGGAGGUUACCACCCUUCGGUGGCGCAGCUAACGCAUUAAGUACUCCGCCUGGGAAGUACGCUCGCAAGAGUGAAACUCAAAGGAAUUGACGG
rnacentral:rRNA from 1 species